CAUUAUGCUCAUUAAGGAAGGCAACUGAGGAAGCGAGUAGCGUUUUUCGCUGAUCACGCUAUAAAAGAGAAAAGUCGAUACACAAUUUUUCAAAAAGAAGAAUCCAUAACAGAAGCAGCAAAAAACGCAAUUUUGUGCUUAAUUUUGACGUUUCAACUGAAAAAAGCCGAAAGUUUUUUAAAUAAAACUGCGUACACUGAUAAUUUCUUUGGAGAUUGCACCUUUGCCUGCGAAUAUACCGCACCGUAUAUUCCCCGGAUUAUUAGCCGGCCACAACAACAACAACAAUAUAAAUCGUGAUAGAUUUUAUGCAGAUAUCACUUAUGCUUCGUUUACGAAAUACUUCUUUUAUUGGUGCCACAAAACAAAACUCACAGAACCUUAGGAUGAUGAAGCUCCACAGCUCUUAGAGAACUCCUAUGCAUAGGAGAAUGGUGAGGCAAAAAACACCAAAAUACUGAUAACAGAACAUCGAGAAAAAAUUAUUGAAUUGCAGCUGUUUGGUGGUUAUACGUUUAAUCAAACCGCUGCCUUUGAAAUUAUGCAAGAUGAAAGACAAACUUUGCUGUAUUGCCUAUGACAUCGAGAUGGAACAGCGAGUUGUAUUGGAAACAACUUUACCCGAUGUUUGUGUGAUAAAGGUUUUGAGGCGCUAGUCUAACUGCUAUUAAUAAACGUUUAAGGACAAGACAUCACUAGGCAUCUAGUGAUACGUGUGCUCAAGAAUGAUGUGGUAAAUUAAGGAUAUGGUCUUUAUCGGCGAAGUUAUUUUGGCUGAGAUGGCAAAGUAUUGCGGUGGUUUUUGGAUGUGUGUGAAACAAGAAAAGUAAGAAAAGAGUUACAGAACAACGAACAUACAGUAGUAGCAAGGGCCAAAAGUUUUGAAAAGAAAUUUAAUAUUGUUAUUGUGUCAGGUAUAGGUUCUUCGUUUUUUUCUGUUUAUACAUAUAAUAUAUAUUUGAGUUAAAAACGAUAAGGCAGUUAAUAACAGUCCGUAUUAACAACUCGUAACAAACAUGCUAACAUGAUUAACCUAUUCGUUAAAAAAUAAAUAUGUUAUAGGUAACACAUAAAUAACCUUUUCCCUAACAAAAGUAUUUGUUCAGCGUUUGAAAAGCUGAUACUCUCGUAGUAUUUCUUUUUGCUAUUGCUCUCUCAAUGUAAAAGUAUGUGCUCUUCUCUGCUCGGAGUCUUGUUAGGUAAAAAACUAUAGCUGUAGCAAUAGCCAAAAAAGAAGAGCUUUGCUCUGGCGUAGCGGUAGCAAAAAAUUGGGAGCGAUAUGAGAGUAGAGCUAAUUAAAAUUUUCAUGUGCUACAAAAAUAUAUGUGAACAGAGGGAUUUGUUGCCACCGUUUAAUACCGCUAAUAAAAAAUGUAAAACAGAGAAAACUAAAGAAAAUGCGAAAUUGAAAUAUAUUUCAUGAAACGUUUUGCAAUGUGAUACAUAGUAAUAUUAAUUUUCAAUUACCAAUGAUUAAAAACACGUAAAAAAAUGUAGGCUUAAUUCACCUUAUUAAGUACUGAAAAGUUCAAAAGUCAGUUAUUAUAAUAUAUUAUAAAAAAAGAUUUAAAUAAUUUCGCGGUAUAUUAGAAGUCCAAUAUAAAAUAAUUUUUAAUUGUAAUAAUUGUUGGGUAUUUUAAUUUAAAUGCCUAAAAAUUAUUAUUUUGCCCGAUCAAUGGAAAAUUAUAUAAAAAACGCUUAUUUUGCUCUCACACUGGAAUAAGUUGGACAUUUCUUUAUUCCUGCUUCAUCACCAGUCACAAACACGCAAAACUCUGUUAUUUAUAUUGCGUUCAAACAGCAUUUAAGCAUUUUCAUAUGGCUGCUUCUGCGACGCUCAGAGAUUCUGUGAGGGUUUUUUAGGUUUGUAGUCAUCUUUAUCGAGUAAGGCCGCCCAGGACGUUCUUAAUCUAUUAAUUCAACAUCUCAACUUCAAAAUCGUACACACCACUUUUAGCCCGCAAGCUCAGGUGGUGCAUGCCAUUGUAGAAACAUACAAGUAACAAAGGAAUUAUAUGGUCGUCAACAGCUGAGAUCACUUGAUCUAAAUAGUUGAUUUUUCGGCACAGAGAUUUAAAUAAAAAUACUUAAAAAUAGUAAAGAGGUUGCAGUAUAGGCGCGUUAGCAAUAUUUUUUUGGGUGUUAGGUUCCCCAAGAGGUCAAAUAUAAAAUAUACAAUACUAAACAAAACUAUUUGUAAUAAUUUAAACAAAAAUAGAUAGAUUCUUCAAAUAUUUUUAAUAAAAUAGAAAAUAUUUACCAAUAUUUUGAUACAAUAAAUAAAAUUUUAAUAAAAACUAGGUAAAUUUAAUCUUUAUGAAUUUUAGUAAUCGAAAUGUAUUUGAAAAUUUAACUAUAAUGUAAUUAAAAUAAUAAAUUGGAUACCAUAACACGGCAACACACUCGUUCCUUUUCUAAGACAUUUGGCCGUUUUAGAAGUAGAAUAUUUAGGAAGUCCAAACGAACUGCCUGGGCUUUUGCCCUGAGUCUUCCCUCGUUCUAUUGCAUUCUUAAUGUAAUUUCUUUCAUUCUACAAGCUUUCGCCUGUGUAUGUAUGGGUGAAAAUGAUAGGAUUUAUUACUUGUAGGUUUAUACAAUGGUGCAUGCUCACCAUAAACUUCCACCAAAUUAGAUGUCUUUCGGCUCAAAUAUGUUUAUUUGAGACACGUAUACAUAUACAAGUACUUAUAUAUACGCAUGCACUCAAUGAAUGAAAUAUUUCCAGCUCAAUAAGGUUUUUACUUUUCCCCACCAGCGCACAUAGGAGCAUUUGGUCUCAAAAACCGGACAAAAUUAUUUAAAGUAAUUUUAUGAGUGAAAAUGCAUGAUUAAAUAUAAUAAUGCAAUAUAUUAAAAUAAAACAAGUAAGGAAGUGUGCAACCGAACAUUUUAUAUUGAAUAUAUUUGAGAAGGGGGUAGUGCCGACCAGAUUUGAUUUAUUUUUGCCCAUCCGGAAAGUAUUUACCCGAUUCAACCCAUUUUUCACACAAUGAAAUACUAUUGUCAGAAAAUGAUUCUGCGUGAAUUUCAAUUUUAUAUCUCACAAAUUGAACGAUAUUUUCGGUCAAAAGUCAACUACUGGUAUCGGCUUCACAUAUUCGGUACCAAGGGCUUGAACAGUUUUGGAUGGAUUGAGACAUUUAUUGGUCAAAAGGUAGCUUACUUUAAGGAAAUUAUUACCGCAAAAUUGUAUUCCGUUAUAUUAAUUAAUUCUUUAUUUAUGUAUUGGAAAGUGAAAGAAUCAAAUGGAAUUUUAAAUUGUGUUAGAUGGGAAGUAGGCGUGAUUGUAGUCCGAUUUCGCUCAGGACACAGGAAGAUGAAAAUAAUGUUAUGUUCCAAAUUUUGUCGAAAUUGGUCAAUCGGGUCCCGAGAUAUGGGAUUAAAUUUUAAAAAUUAAUACUGUAACUACUAAUAAUAUUACUAUUUAUUUUCACCAACUUGUUGUGCCUCCUCUUUCAAUACAACUAUGUCGUUUGAAUAAGGAAAUGUCGGAUGAUGAUUAAUCUUGCUUUGAAGUAGAUAAAUUCCGGCACCCUCAGUGUUGAGAAACCCUCCCGCGACUUUAAUGAUUACAUGUAUGUAUGUGUGAAAUAAUAAUACGUAAUUUAAAUAUUAACAAAUUGUUGUUAGCUUAUAUUCUCCCAUUUUAUUGCAAACUUUAUCAAUAUAUUCGUCAAGUGUCUUAUCAGCUUCAGGAAUUGGCAAAUCACUUACUUUUUUCACCCAUUCCGUCAACGGACUCGUCACAAAGUCCUGAGUAUUUAUGCCAUUCGUACCCAUUAAUGUCUUAAAAGUCUCCGCGUUGGUGAGCUAAAGGGAAAUACUUAAAAAUAUGUUAACCAAUUUUCGGGAACAUUACACUUACAGCAGCUAAUUGCGCAUCCGUAAAUGCUAUAGAAAAUGCUACAAAAAGUUGUUCCGUUUGUUGUUCAAAGUGGUCCCCCAACAUUUUGUGAUAUAUAGUACAUAUGUAUGUAUAUUUUGUUCUGUAUUCACUAAAAGUGAUUGGAAGGAUUAUGACUGGAGAAAAUAUUCUUUGUUUAUACAUGUAAGUCUAUUAAACGAACAAUUAACUUUAUUGUACCAGUUCCAGGUUAAUGCAUUUUUCUGAAAAUAUCGAAAAUGUUGAAAAAAGUUCAAGUUAUUUAUUUACACCUACCUACACCACCCUAUGUUUCAUUCGAUGUAUUUAUUGGGUGAGUGUCGUAUGCGUGAAAAAGCAAUAUAGGUUCUUGUUCACUUUUAACUCUCUCCAUGUUUUCACGUAAUUAUUUUGUUGCCUCGUCCUUUCGAGUAUGACCUCCGUCUACUGGUUGAUCACUAAAAGAUAGCACAAGGUAUGUAAGUUAAUAAUAUACAUUACACAAAUAUUUUUAGAAUCUCCUCUGGCGCUUCUUCUGGUAACUUUUAUAAAAACUCUAUUCAUCAUGAGGUUAACAGCCUCAUCCGUGGAUCUUCAUUGCUCCGCCAAGAAUUUCUUAUUUACCCCAAUACAGUUCUGACACUGCUUCUCUACCUUUUCUUCAUCCACUUCCAUCUCUGCACUCUUUCUGCUGUCGUAGUCCAAGCCAGACUUAAAUCUCCGCUCCUGCUGUCUAGUUGUGGAGUCUAAUCGCAUUUAAACGUCGAAUUUAAUAACGCUAUUGACACCAUUUUACUUUCCGAUUCUUUGGCGCCGCUUUGAAGGUACCGUUGGGAAGAGGAAGUCCUCCUGAUUAAAAAAUAUGUGAAGUUAUAGGUACCUUAAACGCUUAGUUUACGAGAUAUUCGACUUUAAAGUUCAAACAUUCUCAAAAUUCGAACAUUUCAACAAGCUAUAUCACUACAUUUAACUCUUGUUAUACAAAUUUUUUUAUUUCAAAUUCAUUUAAUUAAACAUGUAAACAUUUAAAGAAAUUCACAAUUUACCCUUUUUGAAAGUUUUAUAUGCAAGAAAUCUAUAUUUUAAAAAUCACUUUUUACACUUGUAGUGAGCACCAUUUAUGUGCUAACAAUUAUGAGGAAAUGGAAC